UAAGACAGAGGUGCCGAGCGUUAGGCGGAAUCACUGGGCUUAAAGCGUGUGUAGGCGGGCCCGUAAGUGUCUUGUGAAAUCCCACGGCUCAACCGUGGAACGGCUGGGCAUACUGCGGGCCUCGGGCAACUCAGGGGCAGACGGAACAAGUGGUGGAGCGGUGAAAUGCGUAGAUAUCACUUGGAACGCCGGCGGUGAAAACGGUCUGCUGGGGGUUUGCCGACGCUGAGACACGAAAGCCAGGGGAGCGAACGGGAUUAGAUACCCCGGUAGUCCUGGCCCUAAACGAUGUCGACUAGGUCGCGGCGGCUCUGACGCCGUCGCGGCCGAAGCAAAAGUGCUAAGUCGACCGCCUGGGAAGUACGGUCGCAAGGCUA
rnacentral:rRNA from 1 species